rnacentral:misc_RNA from 1 species
AACGCACCUUGCGCUCCUUGGCAUUCCUUGGAGCAUGCCUGUUUGAGUAUCAUGAAAUUCUCAAAGUAAAUCUUUUGUUAAUUCAAUUGGUUUCUACUUUGGACUUGGAGGUCUUUGCAGAUUUAAUUAUCUGCUCCUCUUAAAUUUAUUAGCUGGAUCUCAGUAUAUGCUUGGUUCCACUCAGCGUGAUAAGUUUAUCACUCGUUGAGGACACUGUAAAAGGUGGCCAGGAAAUACAGAUGAACUGCUUCUAAUAGUCUAUUAAAUUAGACAAUGAAUUUUAAGAUCUGAUCUCAAAUCAGGUAGGACUACCCGCUGAACUUAA